GGCUUAGUGGCUUAGUGGUUAGCAUUCUCACCUCAAAGCAAUAAGGUCACUGGUUCGAGUCCUGACUGGGCCA
rnacentral:tRNA from 1 species